UCUCCGUAGGUGAACCUGCGGAGGGAUCAUUACAAGUGACCCCGGUCUUACCACCGGGAUGUUCAUAACCCUUUGUUGUCCGACUCUGUUGCCUCCGGGGCGACCCUGCCUUCGGGCGGGGACUCCGGGUGGACACUUCAAACUCUUGCGUAACUUUGCAGUCUGAGUAAACUUAAUUAAUAAAUUAAAACUUUUAACAACGGAUCUCUUGGUUCUG
rnacentral:misc_RNA from 1 species